AAGCUCGUGCUCGAUUUCACGCCUCGCAAGCUGUGCGUCUUCUUCAACGGCGAAGUCACCUCCUCCCGCGUGCCGCUGGUGUCCAUGGUCGAGAUGGAGUUGGUGAAUCCGCUGAACGCCGCGGACCCCUCGGUCGUCAUGUGGGAAGCGCGGAUGAUGUACCCGACGCGCAGGCCACCGGCUAUGGCCGAUCGAGCGAGGGCGAUU
rnacentral:SRP_RNA from 1 species